GCACAGGGAGGUAGGGACAAGAAAUAACAAUUCGGGGCAUAAUUUUUUGUAAUGGGAAUGAUGGGAAUUUAAACCUUUUUCAGAGUUUCAAUUGGAGGGCAAGUUUGGUCCAGCAGUCGCGGUAAUUCCAGUUUCAAUAGUGUAUAUUAAAAUUGUUGCAGUUAAAAAGUGUAGUUGAAUUUCUGGCCUUGUUAUUUUUCCUUGAGAGUUAUGGCAUUGUGGUUUAUUUCGGGUAUUGCAUUGGCUUUGCCCGGAUGUUUACUUUGAGAAAAUUAGAGUGCUCAAAGCAGGCUUUAGCCUGUAUAGUUUAGCAUGGAAUAAUAAAGUAGGACUUUGGUUCUAUUUUGUUG
rnacentral:rRNA from 1 species